rnacentral:rRNA from 1 species
AGAGUUUGAUCAUGGCUCAGGAUGAACGCUAGCGGCAGGCCUAACACAUGCAAGUCGAGGGGCAGCACGUCUUCGGAUGGUGGCGACCGGCGCACGGGUGCGUAACGCGUAUGCAACCUACCCUGUACUGAGGUAUAGCCCGGAGAAAUUCGGAUUAACCCCUCAUAGUAUUAAAGAAUCGCAUGAUUUUUUAAUUAAAGGUUACGGUGCAGGAUGGGCAUGCGUCCUAUUAGCUAGAUGGUAAGGUAACGGCUUACCAUGGCUACGAUAGGUAGGGGGCCUGAGAGGGUGGUCCCCCACACUGGUACUGAGACACGGACCAGACUCCUACGGGAGGCAGCAGUGAGGAAUAUUGGUCAAUGGGCGCAAGCCUGAACCAGCCAUGCCGCGUGCAGGAAGAAUGCCCUAUGGGUUGUAAACUGCUUUUAUUUAGGAAUAAACCUUUCUACGUGUAGGAAGCUGAAGGUACUGAAUGAAUAAGCACCGGCUAACUCCGUGCCAGCAGCCGCGGUAAUACGGAGGGUGCAAGCGUUAUCCGGAAUCCUUGGGUUUAAAGGGUCC